GUAACAGGAAGCAGCUUGCUGCUUCGCUGACGAGUGGCGGACGGGUGAGUAAUGUCUGGGAAGCUGCCUGAUGGAGGGGGAUAACUACUGGAAACGGUAGCUAAUACCGCAUAAUGUCGCAAGACCAAAGAGGGGGACCUUCGGGCCUCUUGCCAUCGGAUGUGCCCAGAUGGGAUUAGCUUGUUGGUGGGGUAACGGCUCACCAAGGCGACGAUCCCUAGCUGGUCUGAGAGGAUGACCAGCCACACUGGAACUGAGACACGGUCCAGACUCCUACGGGAGGCAGCAGUGGGGAAUAUUGCACAAUGGGCGCAAGCCUGAUGCAGCCAUGCCGCGUGUAUGAAGAAGGCCUUCGGGUUGUAAAGUACUUUCAGCGGGGAGGAAGGGAGUAAAGUUAAUACCUUUGCUCAUUGACGUUACCCGCAGAAGAAGCACCGGCUAACUCCGUGCCAGCAGCCGCGGUAAUACGGAGGGUGCAAGCGUUAAUCGGAAUUACUGGGCGUAAAGCGCACGCAGGCGGUUUGUUAAGUCAGAUGUGAAAUCCCCGGGCUCAACCUGGGAACUGCAUCUGAUACUGGCAAGCUUGAGUCUCGUAGAGGGGGGUAGAAUUCCAGGUGUAGCGGUGAAAUGCGUAGAGAUCUGGAGGAAUACCGGUGGCGAAGGCGGCCCCUGGACGAAGACUGACGCUCAGGUGCGAAAGCGUGGGGAGCAAACAGG
rnacentral:rRNA from 1 species